AUGAAUCUCUUUGUGUGGAACUGUCGUGGGCUUGGGAACCCGGAGACAGUUCGAGAACUCCACCAUCUGGUGAGAGUGGAAGCGCCCGCCUUGGUCUUUAUCUCUGAAACAAAGAUUGAGGGUUCUAGAGUGGCAGAUUUAACAAACCGUUUGGGUUUUGCUGGGUGUGUGCCCGUAAGCAGUUCUGGCUUAAGUGGCGGAUUGGCCUUAUUUUGGUCGCAUGAAUUGGAUGUAACUUUGAACAACUAUUCAGAUCAGCAUAUUGAUGUAAAGGUAGAGAAUGUGGGCUCGUUUCGCAAGACGUGGCGUUUUACUGGAUUCUAUGCUAAAGCCCAUCGAAGUGAGAGAUCCCAAAGUUGCGAACGAUUGAGGCAGUUGAAUGCGCAAAGCUCUUUGCCGUAG
rnacentral:rRNA from 1 species